GAUGAACGCUAGCGAUAGGCUUAACACAUGCAAGUCGAGGGGCAGCAUGGUCUUAGCUUGCUAAGACUGAUGGUGACCGGCGCACGGGUGCGUAACGCGUAUGCAACUUGCCUCACAGAGGGGGAUAACCCGUCGAAAGACGGACUAAUACCGCGUACACUUGGGAUAGGGCAUCCUGACCCAAGGAAAUGAAAUUCGCUGUGAGAUAGGCAUGCGUCCCAUUAGCUAGUUGGUGAGGUAACGGCUCACCAAGGCGACGAUGGGUAGGGGAACUGAGAGGUUGAACCCCCACACUGGUACUGAGACACGGACCAGACUCCUACGGGAGGCAGCAGUGAGGAAUAUUGGUCAAUGGGCGAGAGCCUGAACCAGCCAAGUCGCGUGAAGGAUGACUGUCUUAUGGAUUGUAAACUUCUUUUAUACGGGAAUAACAAGAGCCACGUGUGGCUCCCUGCAUGUACCGUAUGAAUAAGCAUCGGCUAACUCCGUG
rnacentral:rRNA from 1 species